rnacentral:rRNA from 1 species
GGUUGAUCCUGCCAGUAGUCAUAUGCUUGUCCUAAAGAUUAAGCCAUGCAUGUCUAAGUAUAAACACGUUGUACUGUGAAACUGCGAAUGGCUCAUUAUAUCAGUUAUAAUUUAUUUGAUAGUCUCUUUACUACUUGGAUAACCGUGGUAAUUCUAGAGCUAAUACAUGCGAAAAGUCCGACUUUGGAAGGACUGUAUUUAUUAGAUUAAAAACCAACCUGUUUGGUGAUUCAUAAUAACUGUGCGGAUCGCAUAGCCUUGAGCUGGCGACGUUUCAUUCAAAUUUCUGCC